GGGGACGAAUUUGGUUUCGACUGUUGUAGUUGAAGUGUGGUGGCAUGUAGGGGUGAGGGGCCUCUUAAAAACCUUCAAAACAAUAAACGCUAACAACGAAUUAGCACUAGCAGCUUAAUCUCUGCUACGGACGAAAGGCUUACUCCCCCGGUGGUUUUUUGUCCGACUCAAACGGGGGACGUGAUUCAUCGGUGUUCGGUUCUCGAUGGAUGAUGUACUGGAAUCGAAUUGGAGGGGCACACCUGCCUGCGGGUUAAGGCUCUCCGAAACAACAAUCGUAGGACAAACAUGUAGAGGCCCCAUAGAGGCACAAUAGGACCCGGGUUCGAACCCCGGCGUCUCCAGUA
rnacentral:tmRNA from 2 species